AGAGAAAAAGGUGUGUGUGUGUGUGUGUGUGUGUGUGUGACUACCUCCUUAAACCCAUCCUCAGACUCUCUUCAAUCCAAUGUUUCCUUUCUCUUCCUUGCUCAAAUUCUCCCAUUCAUUGUCCUGCCGAGAGAAAAAGGUGUGUGUGUGUGUGUGUGUGACUACCUCCUUAAACCCAUCCUCAGACUCUCUUCAAUCCAAUGUUUCCUUUCUCUUCCUUGCUCAAAUUCUCCCAUUCAUUGUCCUGCCGAGAGAAAAAGGUGUGUGUGUGUGUGUGUGUGACUACCUCCUUAAACCCAUCCUCAGACUCUCUUCAAUCCAAUGUUUCCUUUCUCUUCCUUGCUCAAAUUCUCCCAUUCAUUGUCCUGCCGAGAGAAAAAGGUGUGUGUGUGUGUGUGUGUGUGUGACUACCUCCUUAAACCCAUCCUCAGACUCUCCUCAAUCCAAUGUUUCCUUUCUCUUCCUUGCUCAAAUUCUCUCAUCCAUUGUUUCCUCUCCUAACACCUCCCUUUCCCUUCUCUCCCUUCCUCCCUCAAUUUCUCCCAUCCAUUGUCUUAUCUCCUAACUCCUCCCUUUCCUGUCCCUACAGAUUUCCUUCCUCAGCACUUCUUCCUUUCCCUUCCUUCCUUCCUUCCUACUACAAACUCUCUUCUCUUUCCUUCUACAAACUCCUUUCCUUGACACUUCUUUCUUUCCCUUCCUUCCUUUCUACUACAGACUCUUCCCUUCCUUUCCUCAACACUUCUUUCCCUUCCUUCCUUCCUACUACAGACUCUUCCUUUCCCUUCCUUCCUUCCUACUACAGACUCUUCCCUUCCCCUCUUUCCUUUCCUUCCUUAACAAUUCUUUCUUACCCUUCCUUCCUCCCUCCCUCAGGCUCUAUUCCCUUCCCCUACAGCCUAGAGACCCCCUUCCUCAAAUACUUCUUUCCCUUCCUUCCUUCCUCCCUUGCUCAGGAUCUAUUCCCUUCCCCUACCACCUACAGCUCCCUUUCCUCAAUACUCCUUUCUCUUUCCCAUCCUUCCUUCCUUCCCUCAGUCUC